rnacentral:rRNA from 1 species
GAUGAACGCUGGCGGCGUGCCUAAUACAUGCAAGUCGAGCGAACACACGAUGAGCUUUCUCCUCUGACGUUAGCGGCGGACGGGUGAGUAACACGUGCAUAACCUACCUAUAAGACUGGGAUAACUUCGGGAAACCGGAGCUACUACCGGAGCAUAUAUUCAACCGCAUGGUUCUAUAGUGAUACACACUUUUGCUGUCACUUAUAGAUGAUGCCGCGCCGCAUUAGCUAGUUGGUAAGGUAACGGCUUACCAAGGCGACGAUGCGUAGCCGACCUGAGAGGGUGAUCGGCCACACUGGAACUGAGACACGGUCCAGACUCCUACGGGAGGCAGCAGUAGGGAAUAUUCCGCAAUGGGCGAAAGCCUGACCGAGCCACGCCGCGUGAGUGAUGAAGGUCUUCGGAUCGUAAAACUCUGUUAUUAGGGAAGAAAAAAUGUGUAAGUAAAUAUGCACGUCUUGACGGUACCUAAACAGAAAGCCCCGGCUAACUACGUG